CACAGAAGAGUUGAGCAGCUACAAGUUUGCAGAGUCCCGGAGGAAGUGUGCGGCUGGAGGCGAGGCUUUCCAUGUCAGGGUCCUAAAGAGUCUUACUAUAUCGCUCCUGCUGUUCUCCACCUCCGGGGAUCAAACUGCCCACGUCAGCUUCCGGAAUCGAAGGGAAGAUAGAUGUGUGUGUGCUACCCACCUGGCAAGCCCUAAAGUUGAGAUGUGGAAACGUGGGUGCACUGAAUGUCUGUUCUACUAAAAGAGUGUUGUUCUUCUGACCUUGGG
ensembl:antisense Gm15417 predicted gene 15417